rnacentral:rRNA from 1 species
CACUCCUGCGGGAGGCAGCAGUGGGGAAUUUUGGACAAUGGGCGAAAGCCUGAUCCAGCAAUGCCGCGUGAGUGAAGAAGGCCUUCGGGUUGUAAAGCUCUUUUGUCAGGGAAGAAACGGUGAAAGCUAAUAUCUUUUGCUAAUGACGGUACCUGAAGAAUAAGCACCGGCUAACUACGUGCCAGCAGCCGCGGUAAUACGUAGGGUGCAAGCGUUAAUCGGAAUUACUGGGCGUAAAGCGUGCGCAGGCGGUUUUGUAAGUCUGAUGUGAAAUCCCCGGGCUCAACCUGGGAAUUGCAUUGGAGACUGCAAGGCUAGAAUCUGGCAGAGGGGGGUAGAAUUCCACGUGUAGCAGUGAAAUGCGUAGAUAUGUGGAGGAACACCGAUGGCGAAGGCAGCCCCCUGGGUCAAGAUUGACGCUCAUGCACGAAAGCGUGGGGAGCAAACAGGAUAAGAUACCCGAGUAGUCCCAUGAU